GUUUUAUGUUCAUCUGAGUUUCAGCAGAGAGUGUUUUAUGUCAAGGAGGAGAGGAAAAUUUCAUUGAAUGUCUGCUGUAUUAGACUGUGUUAUGUUCCUCGAUAUAUUUUUCACUCAUUGGUGAAAGAUUAUAUUUCCUUGCAUAAUUGAAGUUAGGCUGUACCAAGUGAUUUGCACUGGCUAAUAAAAUAUGGAUGAAAAAUGUUCUUUGUGACCUCCAGGCUGCAGCCCUAGGACACCAUUCUCACUGUAGCUAUUCUUUCUUUUCCCUCUACCAUUGUGAUAGGGAGUCCUCUACCUGGAAGCUGCUUUUCCAGCCUGGAUUUUAGAGUAAGGACAAGGACAAUGCAAGCUGAAAUGGGCAUGUAACAUGAACAAGAAAUAAACAUUUGGUGUUUUAACCUUCUGAGAUUGUGGUUGUUAUUAUAGCAUUACUUAGCUUGUUCUAACACAGCUGAUUAGAAAGAUAGGCAGACUAUCCAAAUCCUUGGGCACUUAGAGGGACAAAUGAAUAAACAAGGAUUUGAUUUAGGAGGAGAUAUACCUCCCCACAGUUUAACUAGGAGAAAACUCUCGCAUUCUAUUCUAGCUCUUCUCAGUCUCCAAUAAGAACUUUUUUUUGGCUGUAAAACAUCAUAUAACCUCUGGAGAAACUGAUAUUAAGUAUUUUCUCCUCCUCUUUCUUUUUGUAAGAAAAUUAAUCUCAAUAGAAGUUUAUCAAUUUUAUUUUUGUUCUCAAAUAACUAACUUCGGCUUUGCUGAUUCUUUUGAUGAAUCUCUUCUUGAUUAUUUCCUUCUAUUAUUUUUACAUUUAUUUUGCUGUUAGUUUUCUAAUCCCUUGAGAGAUGUUUUUGAUUUAUUAAUUUUUAGUAUUUCUUCUUUAAAAGACACAUUUGGGGCUGUAUAUCUCUCCUGAAGCACUGCUUUAGCUGCAUCUCGUAGGCUGUAUAGACUUCUAUUGAAUAACCACAAAAGUCAUAACACAAAACUAGCCCUGAUAGUGUUGAGUCAUUGAGCAAACUCCAGCAAGUGCAUCCUCCCCCUAAACUGUCUUUUUAAGUUAUUAUUGUAUAUAGUAAAACUCACUCUUUUUAGAUGUGUAGUUCUAUGAUUUUUCCAGAUGUAUAUAAGCAUCACUGCAACAAAGGUUUAGAACAUUUCCAUUACCACAAAAAGUUUUCUGAGUCAUCUUCUUUAAGCUCAGUCCCUGCACUGACCAUAUUUUGUCCUUAUAAUAUUCCCUUCACAAGUUUGCUUCUCUUAUUAUGUAACAGUUUGAGUAUAAAUCAAUUAGAUAUAAGUCCCUUGGUAUUUCUUGUAUUGUUGAUUUAAAUACGGCAGAUCUUACUAUAAGUCAAUGAAUUAUUUCGCUCAUAUAUUUUUUUGCUAGAUUUUUCUAUUAAGAUACUGACCUAAAAGAAUUGAGAGUUCUAUGUCAGUGCUAAGGAUAGAACUGACAAUAUUGUCUUUUUCAAAUAACAGGGUGAACAUUCUUUGCCAAAAUUAAAAUAUGGUAAAUUGCAUUAUUGAGUUGGAAUCUCCUCCAAACCAACAUGACUCACUCAAUGUUUCAAAGUAUGCUGGAAAAUCAUAACGAAGUCUACAGAUUUCUAUUUAGAUUUCAAAUAAUUUUCUUGGGGAAAGGGACAAUAGUUGUGCGAAGGAAUAAAUAUUUACAUAUUAAGUAAAUUUUACUUUAGUCAAAUUUUUACCAUGGGCACUUUAAUUCAAAGGGAAAUGCAGCCCUUUGGGAUUUUCAUUGUUCUUUUAAAAGUUGUCAAUAGAAGGUUUUAUAAGCUGCUAGUGCCAGAACUGAUUAUAAUAAACUGUAAUUAAGUCAAUAUUGGUAAGCAGCUGUUAUUCUUCAGCUACUCCUCCUUAAUAAUAGCACACUAUUAAUUUUUAAAUCCUGUAUUUAAGCCCUUUUAUCUUAAAUUAAUGAGAUUUUAAUCUGAGACAUCAGCAGCCCUUCAAAUUUUCCAAAUCAAUUUUUGCUAGGAGCUGUGUCUCCAGAGUCACUUUUCAUUGAUCUCAAGAAGCAGGCAAACAAAUACAAACCACAUCUUUAUAUUUAUUGCUAUUUACAUUUAUUUGACAGGAGGCAGGGAUGUUUGAUGUCCUGCCCUGAAUGGGGGAUUCCCACACAAAAGAGAAUUGGCUUCCAUCCCGCGUGGCUUUUGAACACUCUAUCAGACAAACACAUAAGUGAAAAACCAAUUUUUAAACAUCUGAACCCUAACACGAUCACUUAAUACAUAAACACAAGAAUUCUGAAACAUUUUUGCAUACCCUAAAUUUUCCAGAAGUCAUAAGAUUUAAAUUGAAAUAAGAUUUUUUUAUUUUAUUUUAUUUUAUUUUAUCUUUGUCUUUUCAGGGCUGCACUAGCGGCAUGUGGAGGUUCCCAGGCUAGGGGUUUAAUCGGAUCCCACAGCGGCCGACCUACACCACAGCCACAGCAACGCCAGAUCUGAGCCGAGUCUGCGAUCUACACCACAGCUCACGGCAACGUCGGAUCCUUAACCCACUGAGCAAGGCCAGGGACCAAACCCGCAACCUCAUGGUUCCUAGUCGGAUUCGUUAACCACUACGCCACGAUGGGAACUCCUCAGUAUUUUUCUUUGUGCUUGUCAUUUUAAAAACUUCUAAGUAAAUGUGUGUGUGUGUAUACACCCAGAUGUGUACAUUUAUUCAAAUUACCAUGAGUAUGAGAGUAACUGAUAAAGGUUACAUUGUAUUAGCAACUCAAAUACCGAAGUGGCACUGCCACUGAUUUUCCAAAAUGGUCUUAUUUCAGGAAGUUCCCAUCAUGGCGCAGUGGAAACAAUCCGACUAGGAACCAUGAGGUUGCGGGUUUGGUCCCUGGCCUCGCUUAGUAGGUUAAGGAUCCUGCAUUGCCAUGAGCUGUGGUGUAGGUUGCAGACAUGGCUCGGAUCCCGUGUUGCUGUGGCUCUCUCAAGAAUAUUUUGACUAUUUCGGGUCCCUCACAUUUCUAUAAUAAUUUAGUAUUAGCUUGUACACACCUUUAAGAAAAGCAAUUGAAAUUUUGAAAGGGAUCUCUGUGAAUCUAACAACCAAUUUGGGGAGUAUUUUGGUCUUAACAAGUUGAAUCUUCCAAUUUAAGAGCACAAGAUGUUGUUCUAUUUAUCUAGAUCAUCUUCAGUUUUUCAAUAAUGUUUUGUAGAUUUUGUAUGAAUAAAUUUAAAAGAAGGAAUUCAUCAAAACUUAUACAUUCUUUGCAGCUUGCUGAGUGAUUUUUUUAAUCAUGAACGGGUAUUGGGAGUGAGGCGGGAUCAAGAUGGCAGAGGAGUAAGAUAUGGCACUCACCUUCUCCCACAAACACAUAAAAAAAAAAGAAAUCUACAUGUAGAACAGUUCACACAGAGCAUCCACUGAACACUGGCAGAAGACCUUAAACCUCCAAAAAGGGCAAGAAA
rnacentral:lncRNA from 1 species